CGUGCCAUUGAUACUGUUUGGCUUGAGUACAGUUGAGGUAGGUGGAAUGUGUAGUGUAGCGGUGAAAUGCAUAGAUAUUACACAGAACUCCGAUUGCGAAGGCAUCUUACUAAGCUGAGACUGACACUGAUGUACGAAAGCGUGGGGAUCGAACAGGAUUAGAUACCCUGGUAGUCCACGCCGUAAACGAUGCUCACUGGCUGUAUGCGAUAUAUUGUAUGUGGCCAAGCGAAAGCGCUAAGUGAGCCACCUGGGGAGUACGCCGGCAACGGUGAAACUCAAAGGAAUUGACGGGGGCCCGCACAAGCGGAGGAACAUGUGGUUUAAUUCGAUGAUACGCGAGGAACCUUACCUGGGCUUAAAUGGGAGCAGACGGAUUUGGAAACAGGUCUCUCUUCGGACUGCUUUCAAGGUGCUGCAUGGUUGUCGUCAGCUCGUGCCGUGAGGUGUCGGGUUAAGUCCCAUAACGAGCGCAACCCCUACCGAUAGUUACCAUCAGGUCAAGCUGGGGGACUCUAUCGGGACUGCCACCGUAAGGUGCGAGGAAGGCGGGGGAUGACGUCAAAUCAGCACGGCCCUUAUGUCCAGGACUACACACGUGUUACAAUGGGCUGUACAGAGGGCAGCUACCCUGCGAGGGGAUGCUAAUCUUAUAAAUCCGGUCUCAGUUCAGGAUCGGAAGUCUGCACCGA
rnacentral:rRNA from 1 species